rnacentral:rRNA from 1 species
UACGUAGGGGGCAAGCGUUGUCCGGAAUCAUUGGGCGUAAAGCGCGUGUAGGCGGUUCGAUAAGUCUGCUGUGAAAGUCCAGGGCUCAACCCUGGGAUGCCGGUGGAUACUGUCGGGCUAGAGUGCGGAAGAGGAGAAUGGAAUUCCUGGUGUAGCGGUGAAAUGCGCAGAUAUCAGGAAGAACACCCGUGGCUAAGGCGGUUCUCUAGUACGGUACUGACGCUGAGACGCGAAAGCGUGGGGAGCGAACAGG